GCGGGGAUAAGCUUGCUUAUCCGCCGGCGACCGGCGCACGGGUGCGCAACGCGUAUAGAAUCUGCCCUGUACUGGGGAAUAGCCCAGAGAAAUUUGGAUUAAUGCCCCAUGGUAUGUAUUAGCGGCAUCGCUUAUACAUUAAAGGCUACGGUACAGGAUGACUAUGCGUCCCAUUAGUUAGUUGGUAAGGUAACGGCUUACCAAGGCAGCGAUGGGUAGGGGCCCUGAGAGGGGGAUCCCCCACACUGGUACUGAGACACGGACCAGACUCCUACGGGAGGCAGCAGUGAGGAAUAUUGGACAAUGGGCGGGAGCCUGAUCCAGCCAUGCCGCGUGCAGGAAGACGGUCCUAUGGAUUGUAAACUGCUUU
rnacentral:rRNA from 1 species